rnacentral:lncRNA from 1 species
AAAACAUUCAUGGGUUGCUAAACUUUGACAUGGAAACAAAAAGCAGCAGAUAUCUUACAAAAAAAGAAACAGAACCUCGGGCGGAAGCCAAUGAAUGACAACAGACUCGAACCCGCCGGAACUCAAGCUGGACCUCGCCGGCGACCUCAAACAGACCUCAAACGUUGCAGGAAAAACCCGAUCUUUGCCGACGAACUCGAACUUAAAAAGUCAUUCAUGGUGAUUCUCUAGCGAACCUACGGCGGUGAUAGAAACAUGUGGCCAUGGAUGAAGCUUCACGGUGUUGCCUUUGUGGAGUUGCGACUGUGCGUGUGUGUGUGUGUUUGGUGUGAGGGAGAUGGGUGAGGGUGGUGUACACUAGUUUCCGGCGAUGGGGAGGGGUCGCCGGUUUUGUUCAGUCGAGAAAGAGACAGGGUUUAUUUAAGGUUGAAGAAGAAGCUAAUGGUGUCCUCUUUGGAUUAGAAAGGUCUGUUGGUUUUUUGUUUCUCAAAUCAAUGGCUGCUUCAGAUGUGUUUGCUUGAAGCCGAGGGGGGUGGGGUU